UAGGGAAUUUUUCACAAUGGGCGAAAGCCUGAUGGAGCAAUGCCGCGUGAAUGAUGAAGGUCUUAUAGAUUGUAAAAUUCUUUUAUUUGGGAAGAACGACCAUGAUAGGAAAUGAUCAUGGAAUGACUGUACCAUUUGAAUAAGUAUCGGCUAACUAUGUGCCAGCAGCCGCGGUAAUACAUAGGAUGCAAGCGUUAUCCGGAUUUACUGGGCGUAAAACGAGCGCGGGCGGAUUAGCAAGUUUGGUAUGAAAGGCUUUUGCUUAACAAAAGUUUGUAUCAAAAACUGCUAAUCUGGAGUGUAGUAGGGAGUUCUGGAAUUCCAUGUGGAGCGGUGGAAUGCGUAGAUAUAUGGAGGAACACCGGUGGCGAAAGCGGCUCUCUGGUCUGUAACUGACGCU
rnacentral:rRNA from 1 species